CCUACGGGAGGCAGCAGUGAGGAAUAUUGGUCAAUGGGCGCGAGCCUGAACCAGCCAAGUAGCGUGAAGGAUGACUGCCCUACGGGUUGUAAACUUCUUUUAUAAAGGAAUAAAGUGAGGCACGUGUGCCUUUUUGUAUGUACUUUAUGAAUAAGGAUCGGCUAACUCCGGGCCAGCAGCCGCGGUAAUACGGAGGAUCCGAGCGUUGUCCGGAUUUAUUGGGUGGAAAGGGAGCGUAGAUGGGUUGUUAAGUCAGUUGGGAAAGUUUGCGGCUCAAACGUAAGAUGGCAAUUGAUACUGGCAGUCUUGAGUACAGUUGAGGUAGGCGGAACUCGAGGUGUAGCGGUGAAAUGCUUAGAUAUCACGAAGAACUCCAAUUGCGAAGGCAGCUUACUAAACUGCCACUGACAUUGAUGCUCGAAAGUGUGGGUAUCAAACAGGAUUAGAUACCCGUGUAGUC
rnacentral:rRNA from 1 species